rnacentral:lncRNA from 1 species
AUGGAAGUGGACGUGGAUUUGGGGAUGGCUAUAAUGGGUAUGGAGGAGGACCUAGAAGUGGCAAUUUUGGAGGUAGCCCUGGUUAUGGAGGAGGAAGAGGAGGAUAUGGUGGUGGAGGACCUGGAUAUGGCAACCAGGGUGGGGGCUACGGAGGUGGUUAUGACAACUAUGGAGGAGGAAAUUAUGGAAGUGGAAAUUACAAUGAUUUUGGAAAUUAUAACCAGCAACCUUCUAACUACGGUCCAAUGAAGAGUGGAAACUUUGGUGGUAGCAGGAACAUGGGAGGACCAUAUGGUGGAGGGAACUAUGGUCCUGGAGGAAGUGGAGGAAGUGGGGGCUAUGGUGGAAGGAGCCGAUAUUGAGCUUCUUCCUACUUACCAUGGGAAGGUGUCUUGCUGCAGGUAACUAAUGAAGAAGUGGUCAACCACAGAGUCUUCAAGAAAUAAGAAAUUCUGUACCAUCUGAAAGUAGUUCUUGUUGGUGCCUUCAUUUAAGAAGCACUUUUAAGAUAAAAGGGAAUGUUUUCUGAUUAAAAACUUCAUUUAGUACAGGUUCUUAAUAAAAUUACAAAAAUGAGUGUUGAUUGUAAAGGUUAACAUCAGAUUAGCUAAGGAUAAUGUGUUAUGUUUUAAAUUAGGAUUUGUGAGUAGACAGAUAAGCUCUAUUUUAAAUACAAGUUUUAUAAAAUAAAUACUUUUGUAACCAAAAAAA